UACGAGUGCGUCGAGCGUUAUCCGGAAUUACUGGGCGUAAAGAGUGUGUAGGCGGUGCUCUAAGUUCGGUGUGAAAUCUCCUGGCUCAACUGGGAGGGUGCGCCGGAAACUGGAGUGCUUGAGCGUGGGAGAGGAAAGCGGAAUUCCUGGUGUAGCGGUGAAAUGCGUAGAUAUCAGGAGGAACACCUGUGGUGUAGACGGCUUUCUGGACCAUAGCUGACGCUGAGACACGAAAGCGUGGGUAGCAAACAGG
rnacentral:rRNA from 1 species